rnacentral:rRNA from 1 species
UACGGGGGGGGGCAAGCGUUGUUCGGAAUUACUGGGCGUAAAGGGCUCGUAGGCGGCCAACUAAGUCAGACGUGAAAUCCCUCGGCUUAACCGGGGAACUGCAUCUGAUACUGGAUGGCUUGAGUUCGGGGAGAGGGAUGCGGAAUUCCAGGUGUAGCGGUGAAAUGCGUAGAUAUCUGGAGGAACACCGGUGGCGAAGGCGGCAUCCUGGACCGACACUGACGCUGAGGAGCGAAAGCCAGGGGAGCAAAGCGGG